AAAUCCCUGCCUUGUGCGAUACCUACGGUCUGGAUGGCCCUACACCAAUCAUCAGGGAGCCGGACUCCGACGCUGGAUUGCAGACCUCCCGGGCAAGCUUUGCGCUUGUUUGGAUGAAGGGAGCGUGAACGCGCCGGGAGGCUACCCACCUGCUUUCGGGCAGGUCAUUCCACGCCGUUACGGCUUGGUGGGGAUUUU
rnacentral:other from 1 species